GCAUUGUGAAGAAACUGCUUGCUUCCCUCUCACCCUCUGCAGUUUCCUGAGGCCUCCCCAGCCAUGCGGAACGAACCUUCCACUGGCCACUCAGCGAAAGGCAGCUGAUUCAGCACCUGGAGAAGACCGGCAACAGGGCUGAGUUUCCUUGCACUGCAGAGGAGGGGAGAGGCAAGGAGUGGACAUGAGCACGGAGGAUCCAGGGCACUCCCUUGAUGGUGAUGCCCUCGAAGGGCUGCCCCGUGCCCAUUGUACAGAAUGUGGAUUCCACCCCACGCCAUGAGAGCUCUCGCGCAGGCCCAGACCACUUUAUAAGCCAUAUUUCCCACCAAUUCCUGUUUCUGGAUCUGUCAGGUUAUUUCAUAUUUCUAGGCCCUUAGCUUUGCUUCCUCUUCCCUGAACGCCCUUUGCCCACAUCAUCCCAGCUCUCCUUCUCCUCCUGCCUUCUGUCUUCUCUUCCUCUCAUUUCUUGUCACCCAGGCUGGAGUCCAGUGGCGUGAUCACGGCUCACUACAGCCUUGAACUCCCGGGCUCAGGUGAUCCUCCCACCUGAGCCUCCCGAGUAGCUGGGACUACAG
rnacentral:lncRNA from 10 species